rnacentral:lncRNA from 1 species
AGCUCUGGUUCUGACACCCUCAGACACGGCCAGCUGACCCCAGAAGAAAGGUAGGUGUUGGGGGUGCCCAUCUCUUUGGGAAAUUUGAAGGAAUCAAAGAAGGUGGAGGAGGGGAGGUGACCUGGAGCCCGGCAUGUCCUUGUGGCCGGGCCACACCCAGGCUGGCCCCAGGGUGCUGCUGCUGAAGCCCAAUGGGAACAACAGAUUUCUUUUGAGACACAAGGAACUCAGAGGUUGUCUCACUCACCCUGAGUCUGAGCACCUACUUGUGCCAGGCCCUGUGGGGAAACUGAGGCCCUGGGAGGGGAAUGACUUGCCAGGGUCCCGUGUCAGGAGGCUGAGCAGGCAGAUCAUAGGACUUCACGUCUCUGGCCCUCACCUCUGUCCCUCUGUUCAGACCUCUGAGCUGAUAGAGAAGAAACAGGCUGUGCUGUGUCCCUAAUGGGAAACAUGGCUGAGACAGGGGAGUGAGAAGGUCGCAUUGCAGAAUGGUACCUGUGGCAUGAUGCCAGCUUUGCAAUCAUGAGAUUCAAAAGCCACACUGUGGAAUUGUGAGUAUAACUACAGGAGUGAGAGCUUAGGUCUCUGUGUUUGUAGAAGCAGAAUCAAACCUGGACACUGUUGGAUUAUUAAAAUCACCCAUUUUUGCUUCAAUAUCAGAGUCACAAGGGCAGAUGUUGGCCUCCCCUCUGCCCUCCAAGAGCUGUGUGACUCUGGGCAAGUCACCUCCCCUCCCAGCCUAAGAUUUUUCCCCUCUAAAAAACUUGAUAGAGCUGCCAAAAGUCCAUGAAAUCAGGGGGGUAAUUUCUGUGAAAUAUGAGUCAUGGUCUUAUUUGUUCUUCACCAAAAAGAGAUGCCCAUCAAGAUAGAAAGAAAAAUUAAAUUCAAUUUCUCAACUGAAAGUGAAACUGAAGCUGGGCCAUGUCAUCCAGAGGCUGGUUGCUUUUAGUUCAAGUAAUGCCUCCUGCACCUGGGAUUUCAGCCAGGCUGUGCCAGGGAGGGCGGAGGGCAUCCAGGUCAGUCGUAGGGGGUGCAGCUGGGAACACAACAGUGUCCCCAUUGAAUGUUCAGAGUCUAAAGGGGAGACAGAGGCCCAAAGAGCCACAUACAGGUAGAGCUCCCUCUGGAAAGCAGAGUGCUCAGGGAGCCUGGGGAGGGUUGGGGGCCGCCGCAUGGACCAGGCAGCUUUGGGUGGGUCUCUGAGGACAGGUGACUUGCACAUGGUGGGGACAGUGGGGGGGACAUUCCAGGGCGAGGGAGCAGCUGAGUGAAGGCCUGAGGCUGGGGAUGGGAGUGGGAGGAGUAGAUGGGCUCCAGGAGGCACCGAAGCAGGGCGUCAGUGGGUGCCUGGACCUAAGGUGACUGUGGUGGCAGGGAGCGGUGAGGAAGGUGGGGUCCAGAGCAUCAGAGGGCCUGUGUGCCCUGCUAUGGGGUUUGAACUUGACCGUGGCUUUUCACUGAAGAUUCCUCAGAAGGGUGCAGUGCCACGGCUGAGGCCUGUAAUUCAGUGCUGUGGGAGGCAGAGGCGGGAGAAUCACAUGAUGCUAGGAGCUCAAGACAGCUUGGGCAACACAGGAGAUGCUGUCUCUCUGAAAUGAAAAAUUAACAAAUUAGUCCUGCAUGGUGCCGUGUGCCUGUAGUCCCAGCUACCUGGAAGGCUGAGGCAGAAGGAUCACUUGAGCCCAGGGGCUCUAGGCUACAGCAAGCUGUGAUAGCCCCAAAGCACUCCAGACUGGGUGACAGAGCAAGACAGUUUCUC